rnacentral:lncRNA from 1 species
GCUUUAUUUUAGCUUACAGGCAACAGUGCCUCAUUAACGGAAGCCAGGGUAGGAUUUGAAUAAGAAACCGGAUGCUUGCUGGCUCACUCACAGGGUCAUACUUAGCUGCCCUUCUGAUAGAGACCAGCACCUAGGGAAUGGUGCCACCCACAGGGGACUGGGCCUUCCAAUAUCAACUGGCAAUGCACUUCCUUACAGAUAUGUCUAUGGAACAAUCUAACCUGGGCAGUUGAUCAAUUGAGACUCUCUUCUCCUUGUGGAUCCAGCUUCAAUGGAACUGACCCCUUCUAGACAUGGCUCUUCUCUGGUCUUCUUAGCCCCUGAUGGUUGCUAGGCAACCCUAUUAAGUUCCCCAGCUGAGAUCACUCAGUAACCAAGUCACUGUAUGGAACUACCUUGGUCUGGCAUCCUCAUCCCUACUUCCUCACUUGCCCCGACUCCUACGGAUCUUGUGAGCUGAAGACGGAGAGAAGCAUUGUCCUAAACCUGCAGUCGCCUUGGAUUUUUGGAAGUACAAAACCUGAAAGGUCAGGCUACCCCCAGAUGACAGUGAUCACCCAUGAGGGCCAAGCUGCAUUCUGAAGCGGAAGUGACCCUCUCACAGGAGCCAGAUUGACUCACAGUAGCAUCUUGAGGCCAUCACACUGCCCGGGAUGCAGAUGAGGGCAG